GAGGGUACAGCUCAGUGGUAGAGUGCAUGCCUAGCAUGCAUGAGGUCCCGGGUUCAAUCCCCAGUGUCUCCA
rnacentral:tRNA from 1 species